CCAGACAGCCAGGAUGUUGGCUUAGAAGCAGCCAUCAUUUAAAGAAAGCGUAAUAGCUCACUGGUCGAGUCGGCCUGCGCGGAAGAUGUAACGGGGCUAAACCAUGCACCGAAGCUGCGGCAGCGACACUGUGUGUUGUUGGGUAGGGGAGCGUUCUGUAAGCCUGUGAAGGUGGCCUGUGAGGGUUGCUGGAGGUAUCAGAAGUGCGAAUGCUGACAUAAGUAACGAUAAAGCGGGUGAAAAGCCCGCUCGCCGGAAGACCAAGGGUUCCUGUCCAACGUUAAUCGGGGCAGGGUGAGUCGACCCCUAAGGCGAGGCCGAAAGGCGUAGUCGAUGGGAAACGGGUUAAUAUUCCCGUACUUGGUGUUACUGCGAAGGGGGGACGGAGAAGGCUAUGUUGGCCGGGCGACGGUUGUCCCGGUUUAAGCGUGUAGGUGUGUGUUCCAGGUAAAUCCGGUUCACUUUAACACUGAGGCGUGA
rnacentral:rRNA from 1 species